rnacentral:rRNA from 1 species
UACGUAGGCAGCGAGCGUUGUCCGGAAUUAUUGGGCGUAAAGAGUGUGUAGGCGGUGUUCUAAGUUCGGUGUGAAAUCUCCUGGCUCAACUGGGAGGGUGCGGCGGAAACUGGAGUGCUUGAGCGUGGGAGAGGAAAGCGGAAUUCCUGGUGUAGCGGUGAAAUGCGUAGAUAUCAGGAGGAACACCUGUGGUGUAGACGGCUUUCUGGACCAUAGCUGACGCUGAGACACGAAAGCGUGGGUAGCAAACAGG